UACGUAGGGGGCAAGCGUUGUCCGGAUUUAUUGGGCGUAAAGAGCGUGUAGGCGGCUUGGUAGGUCUUGCGUCAAAACCUGAGGCUCAACCUCAGUUCGCGUGGGAAACCAUCUAGCUAGAGUCCGGAAGAGGAGAACGGAAUUCCCAGUGUAGCGGUGAAAUGCGCAGAUAUUGGGAAGAACACCAGUGGCGAAGGCGGCUCUCUGGGACGGUACUGACGCUGAGACGCGAAAGCGUGGGGAGCGAACAGG
rnacentral:rRNA from 1 species